rnacentral:rRNA from 1 species
UACGAAGGGGGCUAGCGUUGCUCGGAAUUACUGGGCGUAAAGCGCACGUAGGCGGCUUUCUAAGUCGGGGGUGAAAUCCUGGAGCUCAACUCCAGACUGCCUUCGAUACUGGAGCUUGAGUCCGGAGAGGUGAGUGGAACUGCGAGUUGUAGAGGUGAAAUUCGUAGAUUAGUUCGCAAGAACACCAGUGGCGAAGGCGGCUCACUGGCCCGGUACUGACGCUGAGGUGCGAAAGCGUGGGGAGCAA